rnacentral:rRNA from 1 species
CUUCCGUAGGUGAACCUGCGGAAG